GAUAGUCCCCCCAUCGUAAUCUGCCAAUUGGUGAUGGUAAUAAACUGCCUUUAUGCUACUGCGGUUAAAUGCUGUGGUAGUGAGCAAUAAAGGAAAUGGCACUUUAAAGAUGUCAGGAG
rfam:Niastella vici strain DJ57 contig52, whole genome shotgun sequence.